ensembl:misc_RNA Metazoa_SRP Metazoan signal recognition particle RNA
GCCGGGUGUGGUGGUGCAUGCCUGUAGUUCCAGCUACCUGGGAGGCUGAGGCAGGAGGAUCACUUGAGCCUGGGGAGGUCGAGGCUGCAGUGAGUUGUGACUGCACCACUGCACUCCAGCCUGGGUGAUAGAGUGAGACCCUGUCUCAA